UCCGUAGCCGGUUUGGUAAGUUCCUGGUUAAAUCUGGCAGCUUAACUGUCAGUUGGCUAGGAAUACUGCCUUACUAGAGGGUGGGAAAGGUUUGGGGUACUCCAGGGGUAGCGGUGAAAUGCGAUAAUCCUUGGGGGACCACCAGUGGCGAAGGCGCCAGACUGGAACACGCCUGACGGUGAGGGACGAAAGCCAGGGGAGCGAACAGGAUUAGAUACCCUGGUAGUCC
rnacentral:rRNA from 1 species